rnacentral:rRNA from 1 species
GACGAACGCUGGCGGCGUGCUUAACACAUGCAAGUCGUACGGUAAGGCCCUUUCGGGGGUACACGAGUGGCGAACGGGUGAGUAACACGUGAGUAACCUGCCCACAACUUUGGGAUAACGCUAGGAAACUGGUGCUAAUACUGGAUAUGUGCUCCUGCUGCAUGGUGGGGGUUGGAAAGCUCCGGCGGUUGUGGAUGGACUCGCGGCCUAUCAGCUUGUUGGUGGGGUAGUGGCCUACCAAGGCGGCGACGGGUAGCCGGCCUGAGAGGGUGACCGGCCACAUUGGGACUGAGAUACGGCCCAGGCUCCUACGGGAGGCAGCAGUGGGGAAUAUUGCACAAUGGGCGCGAGCCUGAUGCAGCAACGCCGCGUGCGGGAUGACGGCCUUCGGGUUGUAAACCGCUUUCAGCAGGGACGAAGCUUUUUGUGACGGUACCUGCAGAAGAAGCACCGGCUAACUACGUG